AUUCAUGUAGUUUACUUAAAACAUUACACUUUCACUGUAAAGAUAGGCUUCAGCCUUUUGAAUG
rnacentral:tRNA from 1 species